rnacentral:rRNA from 1 species
UCGGGAAUUUUGGGCAAUGGGCGAAAGCCUGACCCAGCAACGCCGCGUGAAGGAUGAAGUAUUUCGGUAUGUAAACUUCGUAAGAAUAGGAAGAAUAAAUGACAGUACUAUUUGUAAGGUCCGGCUAACUACGUGCCAGCAGCCGCGGUAAUACGUAGGGACCAAGCGUUGUUCGGAUUUACUGGGCGUAAAGGGCGCGUAGGCGGUUUAUCAAGUCAGUUGUGAAAUCUCCGAGCUUAACCCGGAACGGUCAACUGAUACUGUCAAACUAGAGUACAGAAGGGGCAAUCGGAAUUCUUGGUGUAGCGGUGAAAUGCGUAGAUAUCAAGAGGAACACCUGAGGCGAAGGCGGGUUGCUGGGCUGAUACUGACGCUGAAGCGCGAAAGCUAGGGUAGCAAACGGGAUUAGAUACCCUAGUAGUCCCUGAGCGGGCUGGCAAGGCGCAU